rnacentral:rRNA from 1 species
ACGAACGCUGGCGGCAGGCUUAACACAUGCAAGUCGAGCGGACCCUUCGGGGUCAGCGGCGGACGGGUGAGUAACGCGUGGGAACGUGCCCUUAUCUUCGGAAUAGCCCUGGGAAACCGGGAGUAAUGCCGGAUACGCCGAGCCAUAGCGAUAUGGUUUGGGAAAGAUUUAUCGGAGAGGGAUCGGCCCGCGUUGGAUUAGGUAGUUGGUGGGGUAACGGCCUACCAAGCCGACGAUCCAUAGCUGGUUUGAGAGGAUGAUCAGCCACACUGGGACUGAGACACGGCCCAGACUCCUACGGGAGGCAGCAGUGGGGAAUCUUGGACAAUGGGGGCAACCCUGAUCCAGCCAUGCCGCGUGAGCGAUGAAGGCCUUAGGGUUGUAAAGCUCUUUCAGCGGGGAAGAUAAUGACGGUACCCGCAGAAGAAGCCCCGGCUAACUCCGU